GACGAACGCUGGCGGCGUGCUUAACACAUGCAAGUCGAACGGUGAACUCCGCUUGCGGGGGGAUCAGUGGCGAACGGGUGAGUAACACGUGGGCAACCUGCCCUCAGCUCUGGGAUAACUCCAAGAAAUUGGGGCUAAUACCGGAUAUGACCGCUGACCGCAUGGUCUGGUGGUGGAAAGAUUUAUCGGCUGGGGAUGGGCCCGCGGCCUAUCAGCUUGUUGGUGGGGUAGUGGCCUACCAAGGCGACGACGGGUAGCCGGCCUGAGAGGGUGACCGGCCACACUGGGACUGAGACACGGCCCAGACUCCUACGGGAGGCAGCAGUGGGGAAUAUUGCGCAAUGGGCGAAAGCCUGACGCAGCGACGCCGCGUGGGGGAUGACGGCCUUCGGGUUGUAAACCUCUUUCAGCAGGGACGAAGCGAAAGUGACGGUACCUGCAGAAGAAGCACCGGCCAACUACGUG
rnacentral:rRNA from 1 species